rnacentral:tRNA from 1 species
GGUUGUGGCUUAGUGGUAGAGCACCUGCCUAGCACAUGUGAGGUACUGGGUUUGACCCACAGCACCA